GGGCCCGCACAAGCGGUGGAGCAUGUGGUUUAAUUCGACGCAACGCGAAGAACCUUACCAGGUCUUGACAUCCUGAUUUUGGUCGUUAGAAAUAACUUCCUUCAGUUCGGCUGGAUCAGUGACAGGUGCUGCAUGGCUGUCGUCAGCUCGUGUCGUGAGAUGUUGGGUUAAGUCCCGCAACGAGCGCAACCCUCACUUUUAGUUGCCAUCAUUAAGUUGGGCACUCUGAAAGAACUGCCAGUGAUAAGCUGGAGGAAGGUGGGGAUGACGUCAAGUCCUCAUGGCCCUUACGUGUUGGGCUACACACGUGCUACAAUGGUAUCUACAACAGGAAGCAAGACUGCGAAGUUAAGCAAAUCCUUAAAAGAUACCUCAGUUCGGAUUGCACUCUGCAACUCGAGUGCAUGAAGCUGGAAUUACUAGUAAUCGU
rnacentral:rRNA from 1 species